GCGUUCUUAGUUCAAUCGGUAGAACGUAGGUUUCCAAAACCUGAUGUUGUGGGUUCAAGUCCUACAGAGCGUG
rnacentral:tRNA from 1 species